CCCUUGUGUGUGCAGGCCUCUGCCUGCCUCCUUCUCAGGGUCACACCUGCAGUGUUUCUCCAGCAAGUUUCACAACACUUGCCUGCCCAGAUGCUCAGCUGCUCCUCUCUCUGUGGCUUGCAAGGAACUGACCCACCUCUGCCCCUCUCCGGGGCCAGAAAUACCUCGGAGCAGCCUCCCUCCUCCAAUCCGGAGUGAGAUGCUGCUCCGCAAGUGUGGUGAUGGCUUCCCUUCCCUUCCAAUCUCCAGCUGCAGCCCUGCCGGCUCUCCAUGCUGACUGCACAGGUGGUGGGAUGGCAACACAGGAGGGAUCUGAUGCGGACAGAUAGAAGAAGGUCACCUCCAGAACUGGAUGUCGCAAAACUAGACGUUGCACUGCUGGAGCGACUCUCCUAGUGCAGCUGAGGAAUAGAUACGAGGCCCUCGCAUCACUGGGAGAGAGUGCAGCAACGGAGGCUGUGUCCACAGCUACCAACAGGCAGGCUGAGGGACACCUGGGCAGCCAGAAGAGAAGACAUUGGGUCAUCGUGGUGCACGACUCCCUCCUGAGAGGAACGGAAGGAGCCAUCUGCCGCCUGGAUCCCACGGUACGAGAGGUUUGCUGCCUGCCCAGAGCUUGGAUCUGAGAUGUCACAGCGAGGAUUCCAGACCUAAUCAGGCCCACUGACUACUAUCCCAUGGUCCUCAUCUGUGUGGGAACGUUAUGAGGCCCAGAGUAGUGCGGGUCGGGUCAUGAGCAACUACAUGGUUCUGGGAGCCAGGCUUAGAGUUUCGGGGGCACAAGUAGGCUACGCAUCUAUCCUCCUGGUCAGCGGUCACAGCCAGAACCACAGUAGCUGCACUGCUGAGGUCAACUCACAGCUUCAAAGUUGGUGCCAUCAUGCGGGGUUUGGCUUCCUAGACCAUGAUACGUGGUUCCAGGAUAGGGCCUUGCUGUGGCGUGAUGGUCUACAUCUCCCUCCAAAAGAUUCCUGAAUGAAUUGCUUCAUUUUUCUGAUGAUAUCCCAGGACUGGUUUCAUGCUAAUUGUACUGCAGUAAGGAAAGCCAUCAAGCAGAUGAAGAACAAAGCAUCUAGAGUGCAUGGAAUCCCCACUGCAAUCUUCAGACAGGGAGGCGAGGAGCUCACAUCACAACUUCAUGACUCCUCAUCUCAAGGAUCUAUAAUUAUGAGGAAAUCCCAGGUGACCUCAGAGAUGCCAUGACUGUGACAAUCUUCAAGAAAGGAGACAAGUCCAACUGUAGAAACUACAGAGGGAUUGCCUUGCUGUCCUCCAUAGGGAAGAUCGCUGUGAGAGCUCCACUGAGCCAUCUCCUUCCACUUGCUGAACAGCUCCUCCUGGAAUCUCAGUCGAGAGACAUGACUGACAUGAUCUUCACAGCUCGCCAGCUUCAGAAGAAAUACUGGAAACAACAUAAGCCUCUCUACAUGGCCUGUCACCUCGCAAAAGCGUUUGAUUCUGUCAACUGAGAAGUGCCAUGGAGGUACAGAUGCCCACCAAAAUGCAUUGCCAUUCUUUGCCUGCUCCAUGACAGUAUGUGAGUGGUGGUUCUCAGUAAGUGAUCUAUUGCAUUACUUUGAGGUUAAAAUGGGAGUUCAGCCAGGCUGCAUCAUGAAUCCAACACUCUUAAUAUUCCUUGCCACGAUGCUACAUCCGACCACCAGCAAGCUUCCAGCCAGAGCGGAGCUAAACUACCAAAUGGAUUGUAAGCUGUUUAACCUCAGUUGACUCUGAGCCAAAAGCAAGAUCAAUCUGACCUCAAUCAUUGGGCUCCAGUAUGCUGAUGAUGUAGUAGCAUCUGCUCACUUGCAAGCAGACCUUUAGGCAAUUGUUGAUGUCUUUACCAACGCACACAAUGCAGUUGGACUGAUGCUUAACAUUCAGAAGACUGAGCUCCUAAUGAACAGUCCCCAGCUCCAGUAAUCCAGAUUCAUGGUGAGACUCUGGAAAACUUUGACCGUAUUUCCCAUGUCUUGGAAGCCAUCUCUUACAGAAGGCUGGCAUCAAUGAAGAAACCCAGCAGGGUCUCAAAUGUCCAAGUGAACAAGUGUUCAAAGAUUGCAACAUCAGAUCUGAAACCAAGCUCAUGGUUUAUCAAGCAGUCGUGAUCCCCACCUUGGUGUAUGGAGCCGAGACAUGGAAAACAUACAGAAAACAUGUAAAGUUGUUGGAGAAGUACCAUCAACACUUCCUGUGGAAGAUCCUCCAAAUCCAGUGGAAAGACAGACGCACCAAUGUUAGUGUCCUCCUGCAAGUAAAUACCGUGAGUAUUGAGGCGAUGAUCAUCCAACAUCGACUUUGUUGGGACAGCCAUGUCAUCUGGAUAGCUGACUCCAGACUCCCAAAGCAAGUUUUAUUCUCCCUGCUCAGCCAAGGUGUACGCUCAAGAGGUGGGCAGAGAAAGCACUUCAGGGAUGUCCUUGAGGCCACCUUAGAAAAAUGCAACCUUGAUGUCAACUCAUGGGAUACUAUAACCCAGGACUGCCUCAUAAUGGAGGAAGCGUCUGCUGCAGGGAUCUCACUACUUUGAAACCUCAAGACAACAACAGGAGAUGGAAAAGUGGGAGUGGCAGAAAAAGCAUGUUGCAGACCACAUCAAGAAUCCAGCAUCACUCACCCCACCCAGAAACGCAUAUCUGAACUGCAGUAGAUUUUGUAGAUCCCGGAUAGGCUUCAUCAGCCAUCUUUGGACAUGCAGAUAAGACACUCAUGGAAGACAAUCAUCCUUGACUGCAAGGGAUUGCCAAACAAGAAGAGUUGUUGCAUUAUCCCUGAUAACACCUUUAAAUAGUAGAGUUAGUUGACAGCCCUCGAUUCUGUUGGUAGUGUUGAAGUAAUGUUACCAUGAUGGCCCAGGAAACAUGCAAGAGGUGAUAAUGCUUCUAGGUAAUAUCUUUUAUUGGACCACCUGAGGAAAGGUAUUGAGAUACAUAAAAGCUUGUCUAGGUCUCUCUUUGGAAUUUCUAGAAUUUUCUAAAAGCAAAUGUUAACUCUUCAGCUUGUUUCUUAUUUGUUUUCUUUAAGAUUCUUGGGAACGGAUCAUCUUGGCCUGCUUGUUUGAAAAUGUUUGAUUUUAGUAGAUACUUGAUGUAUCUACAUGAGAAAUUUACUGUGGAUUAGACUAAUUAGCUCCACAGUAAAUAUAUUGGUGUCUACACAGGCAGGGCUAUUGGACUGGAGUAAACUAAUAAACUCUGCAGCCAGUUUUGGCCAGUUUUUUAAACACUUUUGCUUUUAAAUUUGGUUUCUAAGUUGUUUUGCUGGCAAUUACUUUAAGCUUUGGGAAACUGCCCCUUUUAAAGUUCCAAGCAUAAAAAUCACUGGUUGGUACCAUAUUUUGUUUGCACAAUGAAAAUCUAAUCAGGUUAUGCUUACUGGUUCCUAGGCAACCACUAAUUUUUCAGUAUAGUGAUUAUGUUUUCUUUGUCCAUCAGAAUGUGGUCCAAUACUGAGCUACUCCUGUUGGAUGCUUGAUAUUGUAUGUAAGUAAAUUUUUAUGUAUGGUUUUUAAAGGUUUUAAAUACUAAAUGGCCCAGUGUUGAGGUCAUCCAUGAUAAUUUUUCUUUCUACACUUGGUCCAGUUCAUCAGUGUGAUUGAACUGUCUGUAAAAAAAAAAAAAAAAAAAAGCAAAAAAACCAAAAGCUCACUGGGGCCCUUAUCUUCAGUUUUAUAAUUAGAACUUUAUUCUAUAAGCAUUUUUAUUUCUGAAAUUCUUUAGUGGUCAUGACUAUAAGAAGUAAUGGCAUCAUUAUCAAGUGCCUCCCUCUCCUCUGUUUCAUGGUAUCUUUUUAGAUCAAGUUGCAAACGUCAUGGCUAAUAUUCCAGUUAUAUGAUCCUUCCCACCAAGUUUCAAUGAUACCAUAUUGUACUUCUCAUACCUGAGCAUCUCUUAUUUGUCUUGUUUCCUAGUAUUUGUGGAUGAUAAAAAUACAUUUUACACAUGUCCCUUCGUGGUUUGAUUUGCCAGGUUUACUGUGUUGCAGUGCUAAUGUACACAGUUGAGUAUAUGUACCAUGAAUACCCCAUUAUAGCUACCCUAGCUAGUAUGUAAAUGGAAAUUAAUACCCCAAUACUACAAAGAUGGAGGCCAUCAGGAUCAGCCAGGCCCCCCACCCCCUCAUAAUAUAUACUCCAGUGUUUCAUACACCAAACCCUUUCCAUAUUUUCCAACUAUUUUCUUUCAGAAUCUUUUGCAAUUUCUCUUCUGAAAGGUGGGAAACACUUAAGAGAAGGUUGUCUGGAGUUUCCUCUCUUUCAGAUCCCUUCCCUCCCCAGAUCUUCCAGGAUCUGGGGAAUGGCACCUGCCUGAUGUGGUGUUAAUAACAUCAAAGUAUAUCCCUGCCAAAUUAUUCUUUUCAGAUGAUCCCAGAAUUCUGCCUAUUCUGGCAGGAGGAGCCUUUGUCUGAAUCCCUGGAAAAGACCAAGCUGUCUUGCUGUCUUUCUGUCCCUUGUGCUGAUCCAUUCCUUGUGCUGGAUCCUGCUCUUAGAACUAUAUAUUUUCUUUGGUUGGCUGUGUAGGUACUCUGUUGGUCUGGUGGGGAUCCGUACUCAUUUCUUUCCCCAGCUGCCUAUAGGGCCUUUUUUAGGGUUGUGUGUUUAUUUAUUUAAAUUUAUAUGCCACCCCUACCAAUAGAGGCUCAGGGCUUCUUGCAGGCCAUUCUUUUCCAGAUUUCAAACUCAGCUCAUGAUAACAAUACAGUAUGUUCAUCUGCAAAGAUACCCUUUAGGUCUUCCUCCUUCUGAUGGAAACGCAUUGCUAGUUGAUAUUUGUAAUUGUUCAUAAAAUAAAUGAGGAUAGUUUUAAGUCUCAUCACAGUCAUGCCUUAGCAAAUUAGAAUCACAACAAUGAUACCUGUAAAUUUACAUGUCAGUGACUAUACUUGAGCCCCUCAUCCCAUUUUUAAAUUAUGGAAAUAAUAAAUGCCUACCUUAUUUUUCUUAGCACACAUCUUAUAAAUUAAUAAUUUGUCUGUAGAAGUUGCAUUGUGUUUAUUUCUGCAUGACUUCUAGAAUUGUAUCUUAGAACAUAUAAUUUUGUUAGAGAGACAAGAAGUGAACAGCUUUCACUAGAAGCAAUAAUACAUCAACAUAGUCUAUAAGAUAUCAGGUAUGAUGUCUUUGAUUAUCUAAAUACAAGACUAAGGUAUUUCCUAUGGAUUAGAAGAAUACCAUCAAAUAAUUUUAACAGUUUUUUUUGGUUAUUCCUUUGUAUUUGUACUUGGUUUCUGAGUGCAUAAAUAUUUCCCUUUCUGUAUCAGCAUUGGCCUUUAGUUAGUAAACACUUGUAUUUCUUCUGAAUUUUGAAGGCACAAAAAUGGCUGUUGUUUUUCUUCAACAAGAACAGCUCCAACAUAUGUAGCUUCUUAUACUUAGCAAGAUGUAUUAAUUUUAUGCAUCAGCAUAAUCAAUGACCAUAUAAUGGCCAUGGGGAACAUUUGUUUUACAACACAGCACAGGCAGAACAAGAUGUAUAAAUCAGUGGUUACCUAGAAAGGGAAUACUUGAUGUAUUUUUCCUUAAAACAUUUUCUUGUGCCUAUGACUAUAUAUUUGCUAUGGUGACAACAUUGGUAACUAUGGAUUAAAUAAUUUUAUGUAUAUCA